UACGUAGGGUGCGAGCGUUAAUCGGAAUUACUGGGCGUAAAGCGUGCGCAGGCGGUUCGUUGUGUCCGAUGUGAAAGCCCCGGGCUUAACCUGGGAAUGGCAUUGGAAACUGGCGAGCUUGAGUGCGGCAGAGGGGGGUGGAAUUCCGUGUGUAGCGGUGAAAUGCGUAGAUAUACGGAGGAACACCCGUAGCGAAGGCGGCACUCUGGGCCGGUACUGACGCUGAGGAGCGAAAGCGUGGGGAGCAAACAGG
rnacentral:rRNA from 1 species